rnacentral:lncRNA from 1 species
CCAAAGGAAAGAGGACCAAGGGAUAGAAGGUGGCCCCAGCCCCGCCAUCAUGAAGAAACAGGAGGCCAAAAGGGUGGCCAAUCCUUAUUUGAGAGAAGACCCAAGAACUUUGGCAUUGGAUAGGACAUCCAGACCAAAAGAGAUCUAACAUGCUUCGUCAAAAGACCCAGCUACAUCAGGCUGCAGUGGCAAAAGGCCAUCCUCUACAAGAGGCUCAAAGUACCUCUUGCCAUUAACCAGUUCACUCAGGCCCUGGACAGGCAAAAGGCUACUCAGCUGCUUAAGCUUGCCCACAAGUACAGACCAGAGACAAAGAAGGAGAAGAAGCAAAGGCUAUUGGCCCAUGCUGAGAAAAAAGCUGCGGGCAAAGAGGACCUCCCAAGUAAGAGACUGCCUGUCCUCCAAGCAGGAGUCAAUAGUCACCACCUUGGUGGAGAACAAGAAGGCUCAGCUGGUGGUGAUUGCCCAUGAUGUAGACCCCAUUGAAUUGAUGGUUUUCUUACCUGCCCUGUUCAAAAGAUGGGGGUACCCUACUGCAUCAUCAAGGGAAAGGCCAGGCUGGGGUGCCUCGUCCACAGGAAGACGUGCACCACUGUUGCCUUCACACAGGUUAACUCAGAAGACAAGAGUGCUCUGGUUAAUUGGGUGGAAGCUAUUAGGGCCAAUUACAACGACAGAUAGGACGAGAUCUGCUGCCACUGAAGAGGCAACGUCCUGGGUUUUAAGUCUAUGUCAUGCAUUGCUAAGCUGGAAAAGGCAAAGGCUAAAUAA